AGGCAGCAGUGAGGAUAUUGGUCAAUGGACGAGAGUCUGAACCAGCCAAGUAGCGUGAAGGAUGACUGCCCUAUGGGUUGUAAACUUCUUUUAUAUGGGAAUAAAGUGAGCCACGUGUGGMUUUUUGUAUGUACCAUACGAAUAAGGAUCGGCUAACUCCGUGCCAGCAGCCGCGGUAAUACGGAGGAUCCGAGCGUUAUCCGGAUUUAUUGGGUUUAAAGGGAGCGUAGGCGGAUURUUAAGUCAGUUGUGAAAGUUUGCGGCUCAACCGUAAAAUUGCAGUUGAUACUGGYAGUCUUGAGUGCAGYAGAGGURGGCGGAAUUCGUGGUGUAGCGGUGAAAUGCUUAGAUAUCACGA
rnacentral:rRNA from 1 species